UACGUAGGGGGCAAGCGUUGUCCGGAAUUAUUGGGCGUAAAGAGCGCGUAGGCGGUCCGGUAAGUCGGUUGUGAAAGUCGGGGGCUCAACCCUCGGAUGCCGAUCGAUACUGUCGGGCUAGAGUCCGGAAGAGGCGAGUGGAAUUCCUGGUGUAGCGGGUGAAAUGCGCAGAUAUCAAGGAGGAACACCAUGGCGAAGGCAGCUCGCUGGGACGGUACUGACGCUGAGGCGCGAAAGCCGUGGGGAGC
rnacentral:rRNA from 1 species